rnacentral:rRNA from 1 species
GAUGAACGCUGGCGGCGUGCCUAAUACAUGCAAGUCGAGCGAACGGACGAGAAUCUUGCUUCUCUUAUGUUAGCGGCGGACGUGUGAGUAACACGUGGAUAACCUACCUAUAAGACUUGGAUAACUUCGUGAAACCUGAGCUAAUACCGUAUAAUAUUUUGAACCUCAUGGUUCAUACGUUCAAGACGUUCUUGCUGUCACUUAUAGAUGGUUCCGCGCUGCAUUAGCUAGUUGGUAAGGUAACGGCUUACCAAGGCAACGAUGCAUAGCCGACCUGAGAGGGUGAUCGGCAACACUGGAAGUGAGACACGGUACAGACUGCUACGGGAGGCAGCAGUAGGGAAUAUUCCGCAAUGGGCGAAAGCAUGACGGAGCAACGCCGCGUGAGAGAUGAAGGUGUGCGGAUCGUAAAACACUGUUAUUAGGGAAGAAAAUAUGUGUAAGUAAAUGUGCACAUAUUGACGGUAAAAAAUCAAAAAGCAACGGCGAACUACGUG